GGACCUGUAGCGCAGCGGUUGACGCGCCCCAAACCCUCGUGGUGGCGGGAGGACGCCGGUUCGAAUCCGGCCUGGUCCGC
rnacentral:tRNA from 1 species